rnacentral:rRNA from 1 species
UACGGAGGGGGCGAGCGUUAUUCGGAAUUAUUGGGCGUAAAGGGUCUGUAGGUGGCCAACUAAGUCAGACGUGAAAUCCCUCAGCUUAACUGGGGAACUGCGUCUGAUACUGGAUGGCUCGAGUGUGGGAGAGGAAUGCGGAAUUCCAGGUGUAGCGGUGAAAUGCGUAGAUAUGCGGAGGAACACCGAUGGCGAAGGCAAUCCCCUGGGCCUGCACUGACGCUCAUGCACGAAAGCGUGGGGAGCAAACAGG